AAAUAUAGAAUCAUAACGUUAGAAUGUUUUGAAGGCUAUGUGUGGAAUAUUAGUAUAGAAUUAAUAGUCACCGGAUUAAAAUAUCUGUGUAGUGUAUUAAUAACAUCCUCCUCAGCAUCAGGAUGCCAAGUUUCUUGAAUAUUUUUCAAACUACUUGAUUCAAAUAAGUGGGUGUAAAUAUUGUGGUUGGUGAUUUCAAUUUUGAUCGAAUGAAAGAUUAUGACAUGUGUUGUGCAUGGUAUUCGGUAAUCUUACUAGCGUAAAUGUGGCACAGAAAAGUAAUGGCUUGAAUGGAUGUAAAAUUAUUAUAUUAUUCUUAUUUUUUUUCAUUUGUAUGUAGCUAUUGUGCUAAUAAAAAAGGAUUAUUAUUAAUUACAUACUUCUUAAUCAUAUUAUGGAAUGCUGAUAUUGGAAAGAGAAACGUUUAUAAUGAAUUCAAGGUCAGGGAUCAUUUUGUGUUAUUACUUAAUGUGUCGUCUGAAAGAUAAAAUAUUUAAUGUAAUUAACGAUUUAGUUUUCGUACAGUAACGCGUUUAUAAAUUAGUUGUUCAAAAAUAUAAUACCAUAAAAUAUUACUACAAAAUAAAUAAAUGCAUUUACUCCGUAUCAAAAAUAUAUAUUUUCCUUAUAAAUACUGGUUAAAUUUACUGAAACUAAGCAAAUGAAUGUGAUCAAAAAAAUAAAAUAUCCUUUGGCCAAAUUAUGUUAAAACCAAUAUAUUUUUGGUUAAUCUUACUACUUGUAGUAUUGAUAAGCUGCAGAAACCCAAACCUUGCAGAAAAGAUUAACUAUAUGGAUUUUAUUAGUAAAUCGCGAAGAACAGUUAUUCAGUAUGGUGUACUAGGAGGUCCUGGUAUUAAUAGAUUGGUCCAUGCUUACAACUGCCCUAGAGGAACAAUAUUUUUAAACGGAUUUUGUAUUCGUAUAUUUGAUAAAAAUGGUUGACUGUAGUUGAUUAUUUAGAGUUUAUCAUAAUAGUUACAUUUAUGAUAUAUAUUAAUUAUAAUAAAAAUCGGGGAUUAAAAAUAUGUAUAACUUUUA